GGAGUCUGGACCGUCUCUCAGUUCCAAUGUGACCGUUCAUCCUCUCAGACCGGUUACCGAUCGUCGGCUUGGUAAGCCGUUACCUUACCAACUACCUAAUCGGACGCAGGCUCCUCGCAAAGCGAUAAAUCUUUAAUAUAAAUACCAUGCGGCACCUAUAUAACAUUCGGUAUUAGCAGCCCUUUCGGACUGUUGUCCCCAUCUUUGCGGCAGAUUGCCUACGCGUUACUCACCCGUUUGCCACUAGGACCGAAGUCCCCGUUCGACUUGCAUGUGUUAAGCACGCCGCCAGCGUCGUCCUCGAGCCACGGAGUCAACUACU
rnacentral:rRNA from 1 species